rnacentral:rRNA from 1 species
CCUACGGGAGGCAGCAGUAGGGAAUCUUCCACAAUGGGCGAAAGCCUGAUGGAGCAACGCCGCGUGGGUGAAGAAGGUCUUCGGAUCGUAAAACCCUGUUUUUAGAGAAGAAAGUGCGUGAGAGUAACUGUUCACGUUUCGACGGUAUCUAACCAGAAAGCCACGGCUAACUACGUGCCAGCAGCCGCGGUAAUACGUAGGUGGCAAGCGUUCUCCGGAUUUAUUGGGCGUAAAGGGAACGCAGGCGGUCUUUUAAGUCUGAUGUGAAAGCCUUCGGCUUAACCGGAGUAUUGCAUUGGAAACUGGGAGACGUGAGUGCAGAAGAGGAGAGUGGAACUCCAUGUGUAGCGGUGAAAUGCGUAGAUAUAUGGAAGAACACCAGUGGCGAAAGCGGCUCUCUGGUCUGUAACUGACGCUGAGGUUCGAAAGCGUGGGUAGCAAACAGGAUUAGAUACCCCUGUAGUC